rnacentral:rRNA from 1 species
AGAGUUUGAUCAUGGCUCAGAACGAACGCUGGCGGCAGGCUUAACACAUGCAAGUCGAACGCCCCGCAAGGGGAGUGGCAGACGGGUGAGUAACACGUGGGAACGUGCCCUAAGGUUCGGAACAACUCCGGGAAACUGGAGCUAAUACCGAAUGUGUCCGUAAGGAGAAAGAUUUAUCGCCUUAGGAUCGGCCCGCGUCAGAUUAGCUAGUUGGUGGGGUAACGGCCUACCAAGGCGACGAUCUGUAGCUGUUCUGAGAGGAAGAUCAGCCACACUGGGACUGAGACACGGCCCAGACUCCUACGGGAGGCAGCAGUGGGGAAUCUUGGACAAUGGGCGCAAGCCUGAUCCAGCCAUGCCGCGUGAGUGAUGAAGGCCUUAGGGUUGUAAAACUCUUUCAGCGGGGACGAUAAUGACGGUACCCGCAGAA